rnacentral:lncRNA from 1 species
GUAAAUAUAAGGGCUUUCUAUAACACAAUGUGUAUGUUUGCUGACUUUUUGAACUCAAUAUAUGGUCAUAGAUCUAACAAGUUCGUGCUUUUGUCAGUUUUUUUAAUCCAUUUAUGUUUUUUUCUACCAAUGUGUUCCACGAUUCUUGCGCUUUUGAAAUCUUUCAGAGCCCAAAUUUGCUGACACAAAGUCAAUGUUUUAUUAAAAAAAAAAUCCACUGUUUUCUAAUGACAGAAAUUUCCAAUUUGUGACAUACCGCGAUUUGCAUUCUUGCA